rnacentral:rRNA from 1 species
AUUGAACGCUGGCGGCAUGCUUUACACAUGCAAGUCGAACGGUAACAGGCCGCAAGGUGCUGACGAGUGGCGAACGGGUGAGUAAUGCAUCGGAACGUGCCCAGUCGUGGGGGAUAACGCAGCGAAAGCUGUGCUAAUACCGCAUACGAUCUGCGGAUGAAAGCGGGGGACCUUCGGGCCUCGCGCGAUUGGAGCGGCCGAUGUCAGAUUAGGUAGUUGGUGGGGUAAAGGCUCACCAAGCCAACGAUCUGUAGCUGGUCUGAGAGGACGACCAGCCACACUGGGACUGAGACACGGCCCAGACUCCUACGGGAGGAAGCAGUGGGGAAUUUUGGACAAUGGGCGCAAGCCUGAUCCAGCAAUGCCGCGUGCAGGAAGAAGGCCUUCGGGUUGUAAACUGCUUUUGUACGGAGCGAAAAGGCUCCCUCUAAUACAGGGGGCUCAUGACGGUACCGUAAGAAUAAGCACCGGCUAACUACGUGCCAGCAGCCGCCGUAAAAC